ensembl:lncRNA
AGUCAUGUGAGUUGUAGCUGGAAGCAACCUGCCUUACCAGUCCCCCUGGAAUGGCUUCCUUCAAAAUCCGGUAAUUGCUGACUCAUGCUGGGCUUGCAAUCACUGGGCCGAUGAGUAGGCAAGAAAGCACUUUGUCACUCUCUGGAGGAGAAGAACUGAGAGCUGCCCUUGGAAAGGAGCCUGCACAGCAACCUGGGUCACUGAACAUGCCACAUGCCGAAGGAAUUACCACUGUUCAGUGGUCUGCUUCCUGGAGAACCCAAACUGUGGUGAAUACCUAAAUCUAAAUGGAGGUUUGGAAAAUGUCAACCACUGGACUUAAGAAAAGAAUCUACUUUACCUGUGUGGACAGGAAAGGACAGUAGUUCUAGGACUCUAGAAUGCGGUCACUCCUAAGGAACAUCAGGAGAAUUAGAAAUGAAUUAGACAGAGGAGGUCAGCAGCUCCUUGAAAUGAAAAUGAAGCUCAAAAGCAUCUAAUCAUGUUGCACAUUUUAUGUAACAGCUUCAAUGCUGCAUCAAUCCAUCAGAAUGGAACCUUGAGUGCUGAUGGAAAAGGGCAGGGAGAGGAUGACCACAACAACUCCUACACCAAGUCACCUCCAGCUGAUACAGAUUCUUUCAAGGACUUCAGCACAUUCUGCAUAGAUCACCUCAUUUAUCUUUACUGCAUCCUUAGUGACAGGAGGAGAACUGCAAUUAUAUAAUUCUACCUUAAAAGGAAUGCAGUCACAAUGCAGAGACUGUGACUUGCCCAAUGUCAAUCAAUUGCAGGAAGAGAAUCCUAAGUUUCUGUUUCUUGUUAGUACAUAUUAAGGUAUCUUCUGAUGGUAUUUAAUGAAAGCUGCCAGCACUCAUACUUAAGGAGCAGAAAAACUGAACUAACUUUGAUUCCACCCUGACUCGUGUCCAGCCUGCGAUCAUUCCUUCACCCGUCCUUCCAUGACAAAACACGACCUGACUCUGUUGAUAAAGAACCUAAUUAUGCCAGGCUGGAAAGGAUCAGUGGCUAUGAUCAUAUUGGAAUAACUCAAUUGGGCAAAAGAACAGAAAAGAUGGUAAGAGUGUUAUUAUAUCAAAACAGACAAAUUACAAAUAUUUUUAGUGAUGAUGCACUGAGAAGAGGUCAAUGAUUUUGAGAGACCACUGAACAUGAGCUGCUCAAUAUAUGGAUGUCGUUGAGACUAAAAAAUGUUCCAAAAUCCCUAAAGUGUUGUUUUAUGUAUAUCAUUAGUCACACUGAACUCAGACUCACCAAACGUCUGAAUUCAGGUGUCCCCAUUGUCCCAAGAGUUAGAUUAAAAAUAAAGCAUGGUAUUAAAAUUAUAGAAUCAUUCCAAAUAUUGGAGCUUAAUCCUUUAAAUACCAAAAUGGUUAAUUAUUUGAGGGUAAAAACUUACCCCAAAGUUCAAUACAAAGAGGACACAUAACAGAUUCUCACAUUUUCUGGAUGAAAUUCUCUCACCCUCGUGGACAUGUAUGACCCCAGUACUGGCAGACAGUGAUGCCUUAAGGGAAUAUUGAGGUAUGUAGGUCACCUUCUUUCUUCCGAAAUGUCCCAGACUGGACGUUCUUUUUAAAUUUCUCCUGCUUCCCUCUGUGCUGUUGUGUUAACUCACAACAUUUUUGCUACUGUCAUUAUGUGAAUCUUGUAAUCUAGCUUCUCCAUACUACCAUCACUACUUCUUGAAAAGUACAUGAAUUUGGGGCAUAAAUAAUAGGUGACAUGGACAGACAAGAAGUUUUAAAAAGGCAGCAUCCCAAGAACGUGGUUCUUAACAUUUACAAACCAUGGAAAUAUUGGAGAAUCUAAAAAAGAAGUUGUGAAUGCUCUCUCCCUAUUUAUAUCCACAUAUAAUCUCUCAUCAGGGUUUGUGAAAUACAUCCAAAGAAAUUUAUGGUGCCUGAACCCAAUCUGGAAACAUGGAAAUUUUCCUAAGGGCUUUGUGGUAGUUUUUUCACCAAAAGGUGCUCCUACUUACUUGUGCUUCUCUGGGCAUCAGAGUAGUUCCUACUUCUAAUAGUCAAUUUAGACAUUCUAAUUUAGUUGUUGGUAGUAGGAGGCAAUCAAAAAAUAUUUGGUAAAUGUUGAUAAUAUUAAGAUUAAAAAUUACUUGAUAUUGCAAGCUAACAUGAGACAUUAUAAAUGCAACACAAAAAUUGGGAAUGUCUAAAUCCAUACAAUGGAAUGAUAAAAAUAAACAGCUGACCUGAUCAUAAAUAUCUACAUAAUAAUUUAUAGGUAUUAUGCAUGAUUUCUGAAUUGAAACAUUAUACUAUUUGAGGGCAGGGGCUACUAUGAUUUGCACUGGAGUCCCUUCUUCAUUCCUCAUUUGGAUUUGGCUUUCUCUUUGUAUGUAUAGCUUCCAUUUUUGGAGUGAUCAUUUCCUUCCACAGGGCCCAUAUUGCUCCUACCAGGGACUCAUGGCUCUCUGAAUCUACACUUGCUCAGAGGUCAGAGUUAAAUUUAUAAUCUUUAUUACCUGCAUUUUAAAGAUCUAGCAAAUGGCACAAAUUCCCCAAAUGCUGAAACUUAAGCCUUGCCAGCUUAUAAUGUAUUUUCUUUGUAUUGUACACUGAAGUUAACUGGGAAUGUUAUCAUUUGACUUGUGUGACCCUGGAUUCUCUCGUUUUUUUCUGAGCACCCUGAGAGCUUUUGGUUUUUGAUCAGAGAAGAGUUUUCAAGCAAACUCAACCUAAAGUCUUCUCCUUGAUGGGAAGAGAUUGUAUUUCACCUGUUCUCCCUGAUCAUUUUCUGGGCACUUUUGUGAAGACUGCUCUAUCAGUCUGUAUGAGAUAGGUUAUGCUGCAGUGAUUAACAAUCCCCAAAUCUCAGUGACUUGAGACAACAAAGGUGUGCUUCUUGUUCACACACAAGAACAGAAUAGCUUCAUUCACGGUCAUUGUCUGGGUCUCCAAGAUUUACGGAAGUCUUAUCUUUACACGUAUUUCCAUGAUUCGGAUAUAGAAAUCACACAGUUUAUUGGCUAAAGCAAGUUACAAGGUGGUGCCCAAAUUAAAAAAUGGCAGUAUUGCAGUCCCACCACAUUCUAGGAAGUGAGAGGGCUGGAUGCUUUGUGAAUAGCCCAGAAGACCUUGACACAGAUUUAGGCAUGGAUGUUCUAAUUCCCAUUGUGGUUCCUCACAAAUUUUUGAUAUGUCACACUCUGUCCUAGGUAGAAGAGGUUGCUGGAUAAUUGAUUUUUGAAAAAUUAAUUGUUUAUGUGCUUUCUCAAAGGUGUCUUAGAUAUAUCAUCUUUGUCAGAAGAUGUACUUUUGAAAUAUUUCAGCUGGAUACUCUGUCUGGAGUCUAACUCCCUCAGUUGACAGUUUAAGUUCUAUGAAUAAAUUUUCCCUUUAACUUUUUCCCCAUGACAGAGGAUAUCAGAAGUGUCUCCCUUUCUGCCCCCUCUCUGCCUAAGGGACUUGUUGUCUUAGGUUUUAUUGACUGCUAGGUGGAGGUUUUUUUAUCCUAUUGUUGCGCCUUUCUUAAGAAGCUCAGAUAUUUGGAGAGAUAAUUGGAGGUUUAGAAGACUUUUCUAAUUGAUAAAACCAAGUGGAUAGCUUUAAGGAGCUGUUUCAAGGUAUACUAAGGAGUGGGAGAAGAUGAUGGGCUUAAUCUAACUCGAGGAGUUGGGGGUCAAUGUGAGUAUAAAUUGCCUGAAGAGCAUUUAAAAACAAUAAUAAAAACCAACAAAAAUUCUGUCUUUUUAUAAUUCUCAUGGCUCACUGGCAAAUCUAUACAAUGUCAGUGAAAAUAUAUUCCUUUGGACUGGACCUCCUCCACUGCCACACUUUCUCCAAAUUCACCCAUAUGAUAAUUCAACUAUCAACUUCAAGUUUCUCAUCAUGAAGUUUUUAGUUGUUUUUCACUCCUACUAGUUUGCUGAGAAUUUUUACAGUAAAUGGAUGUCAAGGAUUUUUAUGCUUUUGUUGAUAUGAUGAAUGUUUUUUCCACAUUAGCCUAUUAAUGUGAUGCAUUACAUGAAUGAUUUUUGUAUUUUUUAGAUGUGAUUAUUAGUUGACUUUGAGUAAAGCAGAUUAUUCUCCAGUGUUGGUAGACCUCGUUCAAAUAGUUGAAGGUCCUCAGAGAUAGGACUGAGGUCCAGAAAAAAGGGAGGAAUUUAGCCUGCAGACUGCCUGGGGACUCAAAACUGUAAUAGCACUUUGGCCCACCAGUGGGCCCUGCUAAUUGUGGACUUGCAAGACCAUAUAAUCGUGGGAACCAAUUUCUAAAAUCUCUCUCUCUCUUCCCCCUUCUCCUAUUCUUUUUUUUUUUUUCUGGAGAACCCCAACUAAUACUGAUAGAUUCGAAUAGGUUGGGAAUAAGAUUACUAGUUCAAAGUUACUGUAAUAAUUCAGGAAAUAAUGAGGCCUGCUUUAAACCCAUGGUAGUGAGGCUAGAGAACAACAAAUGAGUUGUAGAGAUACACUGAGAUAGAACUGAUAGCUCUCACUGACAGUUUACGUGUGAGAGCAUGAGGGAGAUAAAAUAUUUGAAUAAUUCUAGUAUUUCUUGUUUAGGCACUAGUAGUAUUUUAAAAGAAAUAAAGAUGAAUAGAUGAAAAGCAUAUCUGGGAGGGAAAAAAGAAACCUUAAAUUUAUUUCAAUUAUUUUGAGCUCCCUGUAUAAUACCUAGGAAGAUAUUCUGUAGGAAGAUAGGAAGCUUUAGGUUAUUUUUAGAAGGAGCACUGCCUGGCAAUGUUCACACUGUAGGUGAGAAUGAGAUGACUCAGGGAAAUAGACUAAAUGAGAGUAGGAUGUGGGCCUGGGUCCUAGAGGAUCCAGUUAAGGGUGGCAGAAGCAAAGGAAUAAUUUCUGUAAUUAAGUUUCUGGGCCAUGUGUUCUCUUUCAUUGAGGUCUUUCUUCAGGUGUGUUGAGCUGUACAGUCAUUGCUCUGUCUUUCUAUAAGUUUCACGAAACAAGUGUUGGACCGGCCGCUGCUUUAGUCUUCAGGAAGCUGUCUGUCCCUUGACAGUCAUUUUUGGUAACAGCAACUGACGAAAUCAACCUUCAUGCCAAUAUUGAAAAAGCACUGAGGAAGAAAAACGUUAAACACAGAAAAGUCUAUUUGUUUUUAAUUCUUUUCUACUAGGACAGUUUUAACUUACAGGCUCCAUUAAUGCAAUGUGACUCCACGACAGUGUGUGCUUUACCCAGUUCUAUGGAGAUAUAAUGGGGAUCUUUGAUGUUGUAGUUGUUCAUGAAAGCGGUCUCCCAUUAAUAAAGUGUUUUAGUUGGAAGGCACUGAGGAACAUGGCUGCAAGGACACAAAUUGCUCUGUGUGACUGGAGAUGAAUGAGGAAGAAGAGGUUUAAGUAGAGAAGGCAAUUCAUCAAACUUGGCUUUGGGGUAGAUAACGUUCAUCACAUGCCUCAAGAUAGUUCUGCUAUGGAGAUCAGGAUGUCUGAGACUUCAGUCUUUCUCCAGCUCAGUGUCAGUCUAGUUCACUGUCAGCGCUUUGUUCUUGUUGGCAAGCACAAGAUCAAAGACUCUCAGAACAGCUUUUAUAUCACAGAUGCUUAUGUCACAUAAAAUCUUAAACUGACCUAAUACACUCAUUUAACCAAGUUAUUACCUAUAAUGAACUUGUAUUGCCUGAAACAUAAUAAACCCUGAACAUGUCCUGGAAAAAUCAGAGUAGCUUAGAUCAGGGUGACCUCCAAAGACAGUAUAUUCAACAAGAAGCCUUCAGUAAACAGCUAUAUAUCCUGAGAAAGAGAGAGGAAAGGGAAAAGGAGACAGAAAAGUUUCUUUAAAGAUGAUAUUAUUAAGAACACUUUUAGGAAAUUAUGGAAAAAUUAAAAAUUAUAAAAACAUCAAAGAAAAAGAACAUAAUUAGCAUCCAUAAUCAAUAUGUAACUGUCAUAAACACUUGCUAUGUAUUAUUCAAUUUUAAUUGAAGUACAUUAACAAAGUAUAGAUAGCAUGUUUUAUUAAUAAAUGUUUCAAUUUGCAUCCCCAAAUGAUUAUUUCCUAAACAUAUCCACAAUGCCCUUAUCAAACCUAACAAAAUCAUAAUUUCUACCAUCUCAUUUCAUGUUUGAGUUCAGAUUUCACAUUCUCCCAGUUUUUCCCCAAUUUAUUUUGUAGCUGCUCUCUUCAGACCAGAACCCAAUUAAGUACUAUGUGGUACAUUUAGCUGUUAUAUUUUAACCCUAGCUUUUAAAAAGAUUCCAAUUAACAUUAGGAAGCGAUUCUCAAAUAAUAUUCAAAAAUUGUCUCCAAAAAGAAAAGGAUGACUUACUGAAAAUUUUAAGGGACCCAGUGUGCAGGUUUUUUGGGAUCACUGACUCACGGAUUUGUGCAGUAGUUUCCAAAUCUGGUUUGCCAUCACCAGCCCCUGAGAAGUUUUGGAAAGCUACAGAUUUCAAGGCCCCAGCACAGAUUUACUGAAUUAGAUAGAAUCUCAAGAAUUAAGCAACCUACCCAUCCAGGGAAAAUAUUAGUCUAACUCAUUUUAUAGGACCAAAUCCAACAUGGGCUCUUUGUAUUCAUAGUUAUAAUUCCAUUACCAAUUACAACCUUCUAAUAGUUGGCGAACUUUUGUUUAUGACAUUUUCACAGCUACAAAAUAUUUGAUAAGGAAACAAAUAUCCAGGGUGUUUUCCAAUUAGAAAAAUUACUAGGUUGUUAACUAGAGGAAUUUUAUUAUGAUUUUAUUUUAUGGGGCAUUGAAAUUAGCAUUGUCACAUUGAAAUUUUAUUAUAAUAAAUUUAUUUCUAAAGAUCAUAGUGAUUAUGUGUUAGAAAUUGGGCAUCAAUAAUUUUGAUGAAAACAUUUGUAUAAUCAUUUAGAAUAUAUAUAGCUAAAUUAUAUGAUUUCCUGUUUCUCUGCAGUAACAAAGAAAAUUAAUUCAGGCCCUUCAUUCUCCAAGCUCUUAAAACAUUUGACUUUUAGUGUGUUUGGAUGAAUGUCUUGGGAAUUUGUGUCUCUUGUUAUAGGGACAAUUCUGCUACUAUCCUUCUAGUGUAUAUCUAGAGAUCUAUUGAUUUAUCACUUACAGAUACUGUAUUUUUCCCUUCUAUUGCAUAUGGAGAUUUAUAAUAUUCUAAUAAAAGUAUUAUAUUUUCCAC